GCGAGUGAAGCGGGAAGAGCUCAAAUUUGUAAUCUGGCACUUUCAGUGUCCGAGUUGUAAUCUCGAGAAGUAUUUUCCGCGCCGGACCGCAUACAAGUCUGUUGGAAUACAGCGUCAUAGUGGUGAGAACCCCGUAACUGAUGCGGAUGCCCGGUGCUUUGUGAUAUACUUUCGAAGAGUCGAGUUGUUUGGGAAUGCAGCUCAAAUUGGGUGGUAAAUUCCAUCUAAAGCUAAAUAUUGGAGCAAGACCGAUAGCGAACAAGUACCGUGAGGGAAAGAUGAAAAGCACUUUGGAAAGAGAGUUAACAGUACGUGAAAUUGUUGGAAGGGAAACGCUUGAAGUCAGACUUGCUAUUCGGAGUUCAGCCGCAAGGUGUAUUCUUCGAUUUGCAGGCCAGCAUCAGUUUUUGGGGGUGGAAAAUCGUGGUUUGAAGGUAGCAGUUUCGGCUGUGUUAUAGCUUUCCACUGGAUUCAUCUUCGGGGACUGAGGAACGCAGUACGCUUUUUGCAAGGCUCUCGAGCUUUUCGUACUUAGGAUGCUGGUGGAAUGGCUUUAAACGACCC
rnacentral:rRNA from 1 species